GUAUUACUCCCUCCGUUCGAAAAUACUUGUCACGAAAAUGGAUGUAUCUAUAAUUAAAAUACAUCUAAAUACAUUCAUUUCUUCGACGAGUAAUUCCGAACGGAGGGAGUACUUG
rnacentral:pre_miRNA from 1 species